rnacentral:lncRNA from 1 species
AGGUGAGACCCAACAGGAAGUCAGGCAUUCCCAUUUUGGAUUCCCAUUUCAGAUUCUCAUUUCAGAUACGGCUUCUGUUUUUGGCUUCCUGAAUCGGACUUUGGAUCAUGGUAGACUUUCAGGUUCUGUUUGCUGUAUUGGUGACUCAGGCUGAAUAGCAACACUUAUUAUGGAUGAAGAAAGUGAAGCCCAGCUAGAUGGGGACUUUCUCAAGGUAACCCAGAGCAAGUGGUAGAGUUGAAUAUACAAAUCUCUUCCUCUGACUCAGGGAUCACUGGAUUUCCACACCAUAGUACACUCCUUCCUUGUGGACAAAGUGACUAAAAUUCCUUUUGAAAUGGAGUUGAAAGAGGAAAUGAGGAAAAAGAGAAGAAAGAAAGGAAGAGGAAGAGGAAAAAAAUGAAAGGAAAAAUAUUAUUUCAAUGAAUUGACUACUAGCUCAUGUAAGAUUAAUUAUAUAAUGAACUACAAGAAUGACUAAAAAUUCAGAAAUUGUAUGAAUCUACCUUCAUCUCCAUGAAUCA